CGGAGGAAAAGAAACCAACUGGGAUUCCCUUAGUAACGGCGAGUAAGCGGUAAAAGCUCAAAUUAAAAUCUGGUACUUUCAGCCCCCGGGUUGUAAUUAGUAGAAUUUGUUUUUGAUUAGGUCCUUGUUUAUUUUCCUUGGAACAAGACGUCAUAGAGGGUGAGAAUCCCCUUUGGCGAGGAUACCUUUUCUCUGUAAGACUUUUUCGAAGAAUCGAGUUGUUUGGGAAUGCAGCUCAAAGAGGGUGGUAAAUUCCAUCUAAAGAUAAAUAUUGGCGAGAGACCGAUAGCGAACAAGUACACUGAUGGAAAGAUGAAAAGAACUUUGAAAAGAGAGUGAAAAAGUACGUGAAAUUGUUGAAAAAGAAGGGCAUUUGAUCAGACAUGGUGUUUUUUGCAUGCACUCGCCUCUCGUGGGGGUGGGCCUCUCAAAAAUUUCACGGGCCAACAUCAAUUCUGGCAGCGGGAUAAAUCAUUAAGAAAGUAGCUACUUCGGGAGGGUUAUAACCUUUUGGAAUACCCGUACCCGGGAUUG
rnacentral:rRNA from 1 species